rnacentral:rRNA from 1 species
UGCGCAGGCGGUCUUGCAAGACAGAUGUGAAAUCCCCGGGCUCAACCUGGGAACUGCAUUUGUGACUGCAAGGCUAGAGUACGGUAGAGGGGGAUGGAAUUCCGCGUGUAGCAGUGAAAUGCGUAGAUAUGCGGAGGAACACCGAUGGCGAAGGCAAUCCCCUGGACCUGUACUGACGCUCAUGCACGAAAGCGUGGGGAGCAAACA